rnacentral:tRNA from 2 species
GCCCGCCUGGCCCAACGGCAGAGGCGCCGGCCUCAAAAGUCGGAAGGUCCGGGUUCGAUUCCCGGGGCGGGCA